rnacentral:rRNA from 1 species
GCUGUGGAUUGUCCUUUGGACAAUGGUAGGAGAGCGUUCUAAGGGCGUUGAAGCAUGAUCGUAAGGACAUGUGGAGCGCUUAGAAGUGAGAAUGCCGGUGUGAGUAGCGAAAGACGGGUGAGAAUCCCGUCCACCGAUUGACUAAGGUUUCCAGAGGAAGGCUCGUCCGCUCUGGGUUAGUCGGGUCCUAAGCUGAGGCCGACAGGCGUAGGCGAUGGAUAACAGGUUGAUAUUCCUGUACCACCUAUAAUCGUUUUAAUCGAUGGGGGGACGCAGUAGGAUAGGCGAAGCGUGCGAUUGGAUUGCACGUCUAAGCAGUAAGGCUGAGUAUUAGGCAAAUCCGGUACUCAUUAAGGCUGAGCUGUGAUGGGGAGAAGACAUUGUGUCUUCGAGUCGUUGAUUUCACACUGCCGAGAAAAGCCUCUAGAUAGAAAAUAGGUGCCCGUACCGCAAACCGACACAGGUAGUCAAGAUGAGAAUUCUAAGGUGAGCGAGCGAACUCUCGUUAAGGAACUCGGCAAAAUGACCCCGUAACUUCGGGAGAAGGGGUGCUCUUUAGGGUUAACGCCCAGAAGAGCCGCAGUGAAUAGGCCCAAGCGACUGUUUAUCAAAAACACAGGUCUCUGCUAAACCGUAAGGUGAUGUAUAGGGGCUGACGCCUGCCCGGUGCUGGAAGGUUAAGAGGAGUGGUUAGCUUCUGCGAAGCUACGAAUCGAAGCCCCAGUAAACGGCGGCCGUAACUAUAACGGUCCUAAGGUAGCGAAAUUCCUUGUCGGGUAAGUUCCGACCCGCACGAAAGGCGUAACGAUUUGGGCACUGUCUCAACGAGAGACUCGGUGAAAUCAUAGUACCUGUGAAGAUGCAGGUUACCCGCGACAGGACGGAAAGACCCCGUGGAGCUUUACUGUAGCCUGAUAUUGAAAUUCGGCACAGCUUGUACAGGAUAGGUAGGAGCCUUUGAAACGUGAGCGCUAGCUUACGUGGAGGCGCUGGUGGGAUACUACCCUAGCUGUGUUGGCUUUCUAACCCGCACCACUUAUCGUGGUGGGAGACAGUGUCAGGCGGGCAGUUUGACUGGGGCGGUCGCCUCCUAAAAGGUAACGGAGGCGCUCAAAGGUUCCCUCAGAAUGGUUGGAAAUCAUUCAUAGAGUGUAAAGGCAUAAGGGAGCUUGACUGCGAGACCUACAAGUCGAGCAGGGUCGAAAGACGGACUUAGUGAUCCGGUGGUUCCGCAUGGAAGGGCCAUCGCUCAACGGAUAAAAGCUACCCCGGGGAUAACAGGCUUAUCUCCCCCAAGAGUUCACAUCGACGGGGAGGUUUGGCACCUCGAUGUCGGCUCAUCGCAUCCUGGGGCUGUAGUCGGUCCCAAGGGUUGGGCUGUUCGCCCAUUAAAGCGGUACGCGAGCUGGGUUCAGAACGUCGUGAGACAGUUCGGUCCCUAUCCGUCGUGGGCGUAGGAAAUUUGAGAGGAGCUGUCCUUAGUACGAGAGGACCGGGAUGGACAUACCUCUGGUGUACCAGUUGUCGUGCCAACGGCAUAGCUGGGUAGCUAUGUGUGGACGGGAUAAGUGCUGAAAGCAUCUAAGCAUGAAGCCCCCCUCAAGAUGAGAUUUCCCAACUUCGGUUAUAAGAUCCCUCAAAGAUGAUGAGGUUAAUAGGUUCGAGGUGGAAGCAUGGUGACAUGUGGAGCUGACGAAUACUAA